ensembl:misc_RNA Metazoa_SRP Metazoan signal recognition particle RNA
GCCAGGCGUAGUGAUGCAUGCCUGUAAUCCCAGCUCUUUGGAGGCUGAGGCAGAAGAAUUGCUUGAAUUUAGGAGGUGGAGGUUGCAGUGAGCCGAGAUCAUGCCACUGCACUCCAGCCUGGGUGACAAAGCAAGACUCUGUCUCAA